UACUAAAGGAUUCUGAAACCAUCUCUACCUGUUCUAAAGUAUCCAGGUAGCUGAUUACACUUGUUCCUUUUUCUGCUGUGUUGUUUGAAAACCAUGUAGACACUAUUUGAACAAAAAGUUAUGGAAUCUCCAUUCUGUAGAGAUUUGCUUGAAUUGUGAACACACUGGGGAGCCAUUGAAGAUGAUUAAGCAAGGAAGUAAACUGGUUUAUGUAGUCUUGUAAACAGCAGGCAUGUGCAGGAUGCCCAGCAGCCACAUCCAGCAUCACGGCUGGAGCCAAGUGCUGGAUGGCAGAGGCAUUCUACAAUGGCAGUAUAAUUGGCUUCACUCUUCUCUUCAUACAUUCCCAGAGGACAGGAUUCUGUUGCAUUUGUUUCUGUGCGGUCCAAAGAACGUGGAACCCGAGACCAGUCAGGCUUGACUGGUGCCAAGCACUUAUAUAUUUGCUGAAGAAAUAAAUGA